UCGAUCAUGGCCUGGAGAUUGAACGCUGGCGGGAUGCUUUGCUGGUGCGCCAGAACGGCAGCACGGACUUCGGUCUGGUGGCGAGGGCGAACGGGUGAGUGUACGUCGGAACGUGCCUAGUAGCGGGGAUGAUCACGCGGAAAAGCGUAGCUAAUACCGCAUACUGCCCUUCGGGGGAAAGCGGGGGACCUUCGGGCCUCGCACUAUUAGAGCGGCCGACACGACAGCUGGUUGGUGGGGUAACGGCCUUCACCAAGGCGAUUGAUCCGUAGCUGGUUUGAGAGGACGACCAGCCACACUGGGACUGAGACACGGCCCAGACUCCUACGGGAGGCAGCAGUGGGAAUUUGACAAUGGGGAAACCCUGAUCCAGCCAUCCCGCGUGUGCGAUGAAGGCCUUCGGGUUGUAAAGCACUUUUGGCAGGAAAGAAAUGGCACGGGAUAAUACCCCGUGCAACUGACGGUACCUGCAGAAUAAGCACCGGCUAACUACGUGCCAGCAGCCGCGGUAAUACGUAGGUGCAAGCGUUAAUCGGAAUUACUGGGCGCGCAGCGUGCGCAGGCGGUUCGGAAAGAAAGAUGUAGAAAUCCCAGAGCUUAACUUUGAACUGCAUUUUUAACUACCGAGCUAGAGUGUGUCAGAGGAGGUGGAAUUCCGCGUGUAGCAGGAAAUGCGUAGAUAUGCGGAGGAACACCGAUGGCGAAGGCAGCCUCCUGGGAUAACACUGACGCUCAUGCACGAAAGCGUGGGGAGCAAACAGGAUUAGAUACCCGUAGUCCACGCCUCAAACGAUGUCAACUAGCUGUUGGGGCCUUCGGGCCUUGGUAGCGCAGCUAACGCGUGAAGUUGACCGGCCUGGGGAGUACGGUCGCAAGAUUAAAACUCAAAGGAAUUGACGGGGACCCGCACAAGCGGUGGAUGAUGUGGAUUAAUUCGAUGCAACGCGAAAAACCUUACCUACCCUUGACAUGUCUGGAAUCCCGAAGAGACUUGGGAGUGCUCGCAAGAGAACCGGAACACAGGUGCUGCAUGGCUGUCGUCAGCUCGUGUCGUGAGAUGUUGGGUUAAGUCCCGGCAACGAGCGCAACCCUUGUCAUUAGUUGCUACGAAAGGGCACUCUAAUGAGACUGCCGGUGACAAACCGGAGGAAGGUGGGAUGACGUCAAAGUCCUCAUGGCCCUUAUGGGUAGGGCUUCACACGUCAUACAAUGGUCGGGACAGAGGGCCGCCCUUUUCAACCCGCGCAGGGGGAGCUAAUCCCAGAAACCCGAUCGGGGGUAGUCCGGAUCGCAGUCUGCAACUCGACCAGGAAGUCGGAAUCGCUAGUAAUCGCGGAUCAGAAGGCACGCGGGGUGAAUACGUUCCGGUCUUGUACACACCGCCCGUCACACCAUGGGAGUGGGUUUUACCAGAAGUAGUUAGCUCACCGUAAGGAGGGCGAUUACCACGGUAGGAUUCGACUGGGGUGAAGUCGUAACAAGGUAG
rnacentral:rRNA from 1 species